rnacentral:rRNA from 1 species
UGAAAUCUCGGGGCUCAACCUCGAAACUGCGUCUGAAACUGCAGGUCUAGAAUCUUGGAGGGGGAAGGGGAAUUUCGCAUGUAGGGGUAAAAUCCGUAGAUAUGCGAAGGAACACCAGAGGCGAAGGCGCCUUCCUGGACAAGUAUUGACGCUGAGGCGCGAAAGCGUGGGGAUCAAACAGGAUUAGAUACCCUGGUAGUCCACGCUGUAAACGAUGAAUACUAGAUAUUGCAGACUUUGACCUCUGCAGUGUCGUAGCUAACGCGUUAAG